UACGGAGGGUGCGAGCGUUGUCCGGAAUCACUGGGCGUAAAGGGCGCGUAGGCGGCUUCUCAAGCGUGUGGUGAAAGUCCGGGGCUCAACCCCGGAUCGGCCGUGCGGACUGGGGAGCUCGAGUUCUGUAGAGGCGGGUGGAAUUCCGGGUGUAGCGGUGGAAUGCGUAGAGAUCCGGAAGAACACCGGUGGCGAAGGCGGGUCUCUGGGCAGUAACUGACGCUGAGAGACGAAAGCUAGGGGAGCAAAUGGG
rnacentral:rRNA from 1 species